rnacentral:tRNA from 4 species
GGUGAGGUGGCCGAGUUGGUUAUGGCGCCAGGUUAAGGUCCUGGUGGGGCAACCCGCGCGAGUUCGAGUCUCGUCCUCAUCA